CUCUGUGACUCCUACGGGAGGCAGCAGUGGGGGAAUAUUGCACAAUGGGCGCAAGCCUGAUGCAGCAACGCCGUGUGAGUGAAGAAGGUUUUCGGAUCGUAAAACUCUGUCCUAAGGGAAGAAACAAAUGACGGUACCUUAGGAGGAAGCCCCGGCUAACUACGUGCCAGCAGCCGCGGUAAUACGUAGGGGGCAAGCGUUAUCCGGAAUCACUGGGCGUAAAGGGUGCGUAGGCGGCUUAGCAAGCCAGGGGUGAAAGGCAUUGGCUCAACCAAUGUAAGCCUUUGGAACUGUUAAGCUUGAGUGCAGGAGAGGUAAGUGGAAUUCCUAGUGUAGAGGUGAAAUUCGUAGAUAUUAGGAGGAACACCAGUGGCGAAGGCGACUUACUGGACUGUAACUGACGCUGAUGCACGAAAGCGUGGGGAGCAAACAGGAUUAGAUACCCUGGUAG
rnacentral:rRNA from 1 species